rnacentral:rRNA from 1 species
AUACGGAGGGUGCAAGCGUUACUCGGAAUCACUGGGCGUAAAGGAUGCGUAGGCUGGAUGUCAAGUUGGAAGUGAAAUCCUACGGCUUAACCAUAGAACUGCUUCCAAAACUGGCAACCUAGAGUGAGGGAGAGGCAGAUGGAAUUAGUGGUGUAGGGGUAAAAUCCGUAGAUAUCACUAGGAAUGCCGAUUGCGAAGGCGAUCUGCUAGAACUCUACUGAUGCUAAGGCAUGAAAGCGUGGGGAGCAAACAGUAUUAGAAACCCCAGUAGUCC